rnacentral:rRNA from 1 species
UACAGAGGUCUCAAGCGUUUGUUCGGAAUCACUGGGCGUAAAGGGUGCGUAGGUUGUUCCUUAAGUUGGGUGUGAAAGACCGGGGCUCAACCCCGGAACUGCACUCAAUACUGGGGGGACUGGAGGGUUCGAGGGGAGUCUGGAAUUCACGGUGUAGCAGUGAAAUGCGUGGAUAUCGUGAGGAACACUAGUGGCGAAGGCGGGACUCUGGAGAACACCUGACACUGAGGCACGAAGGCCAGGGGAGCGAACGGGAUUAG